CUCAGAAGUGGACACCUCUUCAGAAUAUAAUUGUAAAAUGAGAGAGAUCAUAACUCCAAACUUCUUAAGUGUGGGUUACACACAGUGACUUCCUUUUCUAAGAGUACAGUAUGGAGAAGAAUAAAAGACAUAACUUUAUAGUUAUCAGGGAAACCUGAUAACACCACCUCCCAGCCCAUAACUCCAGUUUCACCAUGAGGAAAACACAAAACUAACUCCAAUAUUGGGAGAAUCUAUAAAAUACCUGGCCAGAACUCAAAACCUUCAAGGUCAUCAAAAACAAGGAAAGCCUGAGGAACUGUCACAGCCAAGAGGAACCUCAAAAUACAAGACAGCAAAAUGUACUGUGAUAUCUUGGAUGGGAUACUAGAACAGGGAAAGCAUGUCAG